UGUACGUGAUCUCGCUCGCAAACAUUGUCUGCAAUUUUAAUACAUUUUGCAAAGACACCCAAAACAAAAAUUUGGCAUGUGUAACCAUGUUUACUUAAAGUUAUACAAAAAUAUGUAAAAUUGUACUGAAGAAUCAUCUUGAAUCCACCAAAAUGCACCUCUGGAAGAGAAUAGUUUUCAUCGGGAUCGGAUUUUUUGAAUCGCUUACUGUCACCGGACUCCGGUGACUGGAGUAAUCUUCGGGUGGCCCGCACUCGUCCAAGCGAGAAGGAUGAAGAGAAGGAUGAAACUGGGAAGACUGCCCCAACUCCAACUUCUCCUCCUAGCGUGAGGAGGAGGACCCUAUCGAAAGGUUGGCGGCAAAAUUUCGCUCAUCCGUUUUUGUCCUGACAUUAGCGAGUGCAUUGACCUUAGCGGUUUAUAUUUGCAAAAUAUCCUACUCGCCAAACGCAGUGUACGAUUCAAUCGUUCUGAUCUCAAUUGUGAGACCGAUUUCGAUCGCGAGUUUGUACUCGUACGUCCAAUUAUGUUUCUAUCCGGAGCAUUUCAACCGACUGAUGGAAAUUUCCUACACCAUAAUUUCCAUCGUUGGUCUUCUUCAGUACCCGCAAUAUUUGUGGUUAUUCAAAUCUGAAGAGUCUUACGUUCGGGCAAUUUAUACCUUCUGCUUCAUGAUUCUAUUGACAUUUGUAAGUCCGGGACAUUUAUUGGUUACCUCGCUUACACGAAAAUAUGCAGUGAGAGAAAUACGAAAACGAAAAUUAGUUCAGUAGCACGUGUUAAAAUUUUGAAAAAUAAAUUUGAUAGAAAGAAAUACCAAUAAAUAAGAUUUAAUAUUUCAGAAUCAUUCUGAAAUACUGUGCAAACUUUUCUAGUUUUGAGUAAAUCGGAUAAUAAAUC